CCACCGCCCGUCACACCAUUGGGAGUCAGUUUGCUCUAGAAGUCGGUGCGCCAACCUCGGAGGCAGCCGCCUAAACGAGUGACUGGUGACUGGGGUG
rnacentral:rRNA from 1 species